rnacentral:lncRNA from 1 species
GCUAACUGCUGCCUUGAAUUCCUGGGGUGAAGAGAUCCUCCUGCCUCAGCCUCUGAAGUAGCUGGGACUACCAGCGUGCACCAUCACACUCAGCUAAAGGCCAUUAAUUUCUGCCUGCUGAAGCUGUGAGAAAGCUCAGACUUCCAUCCCUACAUUGUUGAGAACUGGCAAUGUUACAAAGAAGAAACCCCUCAAGACUAUCCGACCAAACAUUUCGUCUCUGAGAAAUGUUCACUCACCCCAGGGUGUGGAACUGAA